UCGAAAAACACGGGGGUCUGUAUUUCUAAGCUCUCCAAACUGGUACUGUUUGUUAGAAACGCUAAAAUGACACAAUCUUACAGGUUGAAUUCCUCAGGAAGCUAAUGACGCUUCUUUGUCAAUGUCCGUAUGUCAUGCUUCGAGAUCUCCCUACACGAACAUAUUGGUUUGACCCAAGGUCUGCAUUGUGGCUAACCAGCUGACAGAAACCUUUAUAACAGUGACUGUGAACACGGCAGGCUGGCAGGAGGGACGCCUCAACGAAAUUGAAUCUUUUUAUUACUCCCAAAAAUAUCUUAAAGAAGAAAAAGCAUCGGACCAUUAACAAAAGAAAAAGGAAUGAUGAAGAUAGUGUUGCUGCUGAUCCUGGGUGUGGCAGCUGGACGUCCUGCCAAUGAGACGGCUGUGGGGAUAUCCAACAGUGCAAAAGUUCCAUCCCCAUGCUUUGGAUAUGCAAUCAGUGGAAUGUGUUAUCGAUUCUUCUCCGUACCAAAGAUAUACACUGAUGCUGAGUUCUACUGCAAUAAUAAUUUCCCCAGGUGGACUCUACCUGGC